CGGUUAGCGGAUGCUGUCGCUAUGUCAUCCCUCUCUGUCUCGCCACAUCACACCAGAGAUGCUGCUGCUGCCUCAGCCUCCCAGAUGCAGCGUUGACUCAACACUGCUGCAGCAGCCAGUUCCUACAGAUUCUCCCAACUGAGCUGUGAAUCUCUGCAGCUCUUCCAGAGUUACCACGGGCAUCCUGGCAGGUCCUCUUACUAAUGUUCUGGAUUACCAUUUAAAUGUUCUUAGACAUUUCUUUCUUUCAUUUAUUCACUCAGAUCAGGCAACUGUGGUAGAUGAGUCUUUGCGAGAUGUUUUCUGUUAAAGAUGAUGUUUGAGACACUUAAUAUUAGACCUAACAACAGGAGGGGGGGAAAACAGCACAAACAGUUGUUCUUGUUUAAUAUUUUUACUUUAAACUGUCCAAAUUAUAAAAUAACAUGAUCUCUACUUGAUCUACAAAAAAAAAACCCAAAAACAAUAAAACAAUGACUGUAAUAAGCAUCGAUUUUUUUGCUCUAACAACUUUUUAGACAUGCAUACUGUUGAGAAAUAUAAAAAUAUAAAUAUAAAUACAUCCCCUUAAUAUUCUUAAUGAAUCCAUGACUAAGAUCUGAAAUGUUUUUUCAUAAAAGAAUUAAAAUGCAGUUGAGUACGAUAAGGCAUUAAAGAUGUAAGAGACAAGAGCUGUACAGAAGCCUAGAGUAGAGGUAUCAUUAUUAUUAUUUUUUUUAGUGUAAUGGAGAAAACCUAAAAUUAAUUUCCAA